rnacentral:lncRNA from 1 species
UAGUUCCCCAGAACUGUUGUUCUAAGAGAUUUGCUGCCUUUCCCCUGUCCGGAUCUCACAGUACAGAUGUCAGAUUGCUAAGAAAUCAGUUCAGUUCUGCCCAGGCCAGGCCAGCUUCUCACCUCUGUGCAUUUUUGCAGCCAAGGAGGUUGGCCUAGGAUUGCCCAGUUGAGGAGAAGAUGCCCAAAACCUUUAGCAUGCUAGCAGUGGGUAAGGGGGAGGUACAUCCAAAUUACUUGAGGCUUUCCAGCCAAACUUUCUUUCCUUUUAAAUUUCAGUUCAAAUUUUAUACUUUCCCUUUGAAUUUCAGUUCAAAUUUUAAUACCGAACCCAGUUAACUCACCAGCUUCAGUGUGUCUUGGCUAGCUAAAAAAAUUGAGGAUAGCGGAGAUGGACAAAGCACAAAAAUCAGUGCACA